CACAUAUGUACAUACAUGUAUGGACUGACAUACAUACAUAUAGGAAUCUUCUCCCUCCUUAUAUAUGUAUGAAGAGAGAAUGCAUACACACACACACACACACACACACACGCAUAUAAUGGGAUUACGCUGUAGCUUUUCGUUUUUACUUAAUAUAACAUAGACAUAAUUUCUGAUCAGUAAAUGUCUAUUAGAAGUCCACAAUCUGGAGGCCAAAAGCCAAAUUUAGUGCAUAUGGAUGGAAAUUGUUUGGCAUUGUUUUAAAGACUUAAAUUUAAACUCCUUAAGAAGGGGCAUAGAUCUUCCAAUUCCUGACUGGCCCUGAAGGCAUUUGAAGUUGUCAUCCUGCGUUUUAUAUCAUUGUUUACAAUUAUUCUUAUCCCACCAUAUCAGUAUUUUUCAGUAGGGAAAUUUUGGCCAUUUUGAGCCAGAUAAUUCUCUGUUGUGUGGGAUUAUUUUGUACAUUGCAGGACAUUUAGCAUCCCUGAUGCCCACCAGCUCAAUGCCAGCAGUGUCCUCAGGCCUAUGUGAUAACCAAAUCUGACCCCAUGCAUGUCCACACUGGGGCAUCUGUUCUUGUCUUGGGCUAAUGAUGAAAUUAUCACAGGCUCUCCUCCAUAAAUACGUUUAAGUAUGAUGACCUUAAGUCCUAGGAUACCUGGGACAGUCCUGUGGUUCAGGUGUAUUUAUUAAUACCCCUUAGUCAUUUAAUUAAUAUUAAUUAAUUAAUAGCCGUUAGUGACCCUUGUCACUCUCAGAAGUAUCCCUAUUUGGAUGAUAAACCAGUGGGUCGCCCUGAGUAUAAGGCCCUGCUUCAGAAAUGGUUAGAUUUGUCAGGUUCUGCCCAGGAAAGACUAAAUGUGCCAUUGGUGCUAAGCAUGUCUUCCCAGAGUUAAUCUAUAUGUCAUGUGGUAAAUGCCUUCCACUGAGGAUGCUAUGAUCAGAUCCUACUUCCAACUCCAGAGCUGAACAUCGGGGUAGUCAGUGACACAGGCACAUUUUUUAAAAGGUGGGCAGGAAUUGGCUUAAGGCCAGAGCUAGGCUGAAGAAAGAGGAUGUCUGAUGACCCCUUGGAUUCAAGAAGACCUGUAGCAUAUCAUGUAUGGUCUAGAGAGGCCUGCUUAGGCUCCAUGCUUUACAGAUUAAGAAACUGAGGACCAGAGAAAGGAAGGGAAAUAGAACCUCAGGGUAUGAAAGGCUUAAGAGUCUUCUUGCCCUCCCCAACUUGGAAGCUUUCAUUUCCACUGAGCAUAUUCACAGGUGGAGGGUCAGCCUCCAUCAGAACUGCGAGCCAUGGGUCAUAGAUAGCGCACAAGCCACAGGCAGAGGCAGAACCCAGGGAUCCCCAGUUUUGGAUCACAGCACUUCACUUUGUUCUAUUCUGUAUCUCCUUAGAUUUCCUCCCAAGAUACUUAAACCUCCACUCUUCCAUAUACAUCUAAAAGAUGAAACCGAUUUAGAAGUACCAGAUGUAUCUGAGAGAGGAUUCCUAGAGAAUAUAGGAGCUGCACACUCAACAGUCGUGGGCUGGUUUGAGAAGUGGAUUCCAUUGUAUUUGACCCUGGGUACUUUUUCGUUAUCUCCCUAAUACUUCAUUCACUCUAAGCCUGGAUGAACUUUUAUCAGGAAUGCCUGAGUGGCAGCUGGUUAUCUGGGAUGUGGAAGAGGAUUCACCUUGAACUUUGUAACUUCAGAAGAGUCGGGGUCUCAGCAUGAAAGGUGGCUUGGCUUGACCUGGCUGCAGACCUCGCUUCUGCAUGAUGCUGUUUCCAGAUGGACCUUUAAGUGUUCCGAGCAGGCCCCAUGCAGGAAAUAUGUCCUGCAUUGAAUGUCAAGCUUCUUGCUAUUAUUUAUUCUUACUUUUGGCUUUUUAUGGGAUUGGUGCUCCUUUAAAGAGACCUGUUAGCAUUCCUUGUGAGAUGCUCUGUUUAUUAACAAAUGAUUUGCUCUGUGUUGGCUAUAAUGAAUCACUGGCAUUACAACAAUCUGAAAGACCACAGAGUUCUACAAGUGGUACCUUUUCUUCCAUCAAGUUUCUUGAACAUCCUUUCUGAACCUGCUCAUCUAAUCUCACCUUGGAUUCAAGUUCUCCACUAGGAGUAGUGUAUUGCUCCUGGAUUUUAAAAAUUAAAAUGAUUCUGAACAGACAGGGCAGGAAAUACUUUGGGAAUCAAUGCAAGUUAAUAUACAAUAUUAAUCUAAAUAAUACUAUUAUUUUGGGGGCACUAUGUGCUAGAUCUGUGUUAAGCACUUCCAUGAACUACCUCAUUAAAUCCUCAUAACUCCAUUGUGAUAUUAUUAAUUCCCUCAUUUUACAGAAUGCUAACUUGAGGUUCAGAGAAGUUGAAUAGCUUGCUCAACAGUACACAGCUACUAAAUUAUAAGAUUCAAAUUUAGCUCAGUCUGAUGCAGGGCCUGAUCUUAACUAUAGCAUUAUACCAGCUCAGAGGACUCAGAGGGGAGAAUACUCCAUUACCCACUCUCUCUGAGGCGUAUAAGCUCCCAGUGCCUCUGCUUACCAGGGAUACAGUGUGGGGUCACAUAGAGAGCCCUGGCCCUAAAGUCAGAAGAUCUGAAUUUGAGUGGCAACACCUGCCCUUGCCUUUAUUAACUUUAUUGUGAAGGUUGAAUGCUACAAUGUAAAUGACUAAGGUCUUUACAUACAAUUGUAGGUUGUGAUGGCAUGUAUAAAAGAUGAGUCUUCUGUGUAUAGUUAUACCUGUUUCUACCUGUAUGUAUAUAGCCCAAUUAUAUCCAAUGAUGAUAGGCUUGUAUCAGGUUGCUCACAGUUGGAAAAGCCAUUCUUGGGACUAGGAUUUCAAACUGGAAGGGAACUAAGAAGUCAUCUGUACAUUACAAGUGAGGAAAAUGAGGCUUGGUAAGAGAUUUCUUUGUACUUUUCCCAGGACUAGCAGAAUGACAUUGAGAUUUGGAGACCAAUGACUCAGGAGUAGGCAGGGACUGAAAGAGCCAUAACAUUUACAUGCAAUAUUGAAAAGCCUGGGUCAUCUAGUGGGAUGAACCCAGUCUAGUUGGAAGAAGAGCAGCCUGAAGCCAGAGAGAUGGUUAAGAUUGCUGUGGAGAGUAGGAAGAGAAGGUUCCAAGUGGAUGGACAGUGCUGCCUGUAAGGGAGGGUAUUCUGAAAGCUUCACCACGUGAGACAACCUGAUGCUGUUUCUUCCUCCCAUGUCUUUAGGUCCCAUGUGCAAUAUGCAGUGUUCAUGGCUUCCUACCUGGAGAAAGUUAAGUUUUAUUGUGUUCAAGGAGGUUGAGAGUAUAUAUUUGAUGUCCCAAGAUUGAGGAAGUGGUCCAGCAGGAAGACUGCAUUGAGUUACCAACUUGGGUGAAAAAGAUCAAGGUGAAGAUUUUAUUCCACAAAGUAUAAGGGGCCAGUAGGUCUUUACAGAAGUAAGUAACUUGAGCAAAAUUCCAUACUAAUUCCACCCAUGAUGCCUUCAGACUUCACAUCUACCAAUUCUUUUUUCAGAGGUCCAGUUGACCCCACACUCAUAUUUUCUAGUCUUCCUGAAAAUGCCUGGUUCUGAUCCAAACUAGAUGAGAGGGUACAGACAAAUAAUCCAAGCCCACAGCUGACAAAACAACCCACAGCACACGUCCUGUGUCCAGAUGGGGACUGAAGGUCAACUGUGUCAUCUGUCUUUAUGAAAGACAGCAUGUUAUUAUACUGAUUACAGUGUACUGGGCUUUGCUGGGGACUAAAAAUAGAUAAAUGUGGCUUCUAGAGACAGGCACUAACAUUCCUUUGGCUUCCUUUACUAUGUGCUUUUUUAGAGAAAUCUUUGCCUUGAUUAGAAAAGAAAAAAAAAAAAGACUGCCAAAAGCUGUGCUGCCUUAGGCAUUUUUCGAAGGGCAAUUUGCACCUGACCAGUGCUGCUGUCAUCUUUGACAUGUCCCUGGUGCUGCUCCCCAUCAUCAUGUUUGUGUGUGUUUGCAAAAGGAACAAAACAGGCAGCCCCACUCUGCAUUCCUUUAUUCCAGCUUUUCCAUUUCUGGGCUCUUCAUAUCUCUUAAUGAAGAAUUGCACACCACAGCCCAGCCUGGGUGAGCCCAAGAGAUCUUUUCCCUGUAGAAGAUAUUGGAGAGAGGUUUGGGCUGACUCUGCAACAGGAUGAGAGAAGGAAUUAGCAUUUAUUGAGUUCCCGCUGUGUGGUCCCCUGUGUCAGAUGGUUUUGCUGAUCACUGCAGAAACUCUGGAAGGCAAAUGAAUUGGAGGCUCUGGAUAAAGAAGCAAAUGAUGGAGCUAGAAUCUGGGCCCAAGUCUGUUCAUUUCAAGCCCAUGUCCUUCCUGUGUUGUAUCGGGAUACAAUUAAUCUAGAGCAGGAAGUAUAAACUUCUUUGUGCCCUUCUUGUCCAUGUAACAUCUCUUGGGAGCUAUAGUGGAGGUAAAAUGAAAAGGUAGAAAACAUUCUUAUUACUUCUGUUCUCAGGCAGGCAUAAUAAAUUUAUAUUCACAAAAUCAAAUGCCUUUGAUGGUCUCGUGGGAUAUGUAAAUGUGAGUGAUGCGGUGAAUAGGAAGUUGGGGAGAGGGGUGCUCUAAUGGAACCAGGCCCCAUAGACAUGCUCCAUUGAAAGGCAUCAAUAUUCAUCCUUUAAAAAUCGUUGUUGGUCAAACCAAUCAUUCCUGUGAACCAAUCAGGAUCAAGGGCUGUCAUUUAGGAACUCCUGACCCACGUGUCCUUCUAGGUGUUGAUGACUGUAUCUUGCCAGGUGCCAGUGUAUCCUGCUUAGAGUCUCCUAGGUGUUGAUGCUUGAUUUGAUUUCUUCAUUUACUAAAAAGGAGAAUAUAUUACCUAUACAAGUUAAAAGUGUACACACAUACACACAUAUACAUUCACCCUGAGCAGUAGGGGUAUAAGUGGUGCUACAUUAUUCUUUCCACUUUACUUGCAAAUUUCUUUUACAUAUUAAAAGAAAAUGCAGCAUGUAAGGGCUGAAAGCAUCUUUAGUGUCUUAGUCCACCUCAUACAUGUUAUAGAUGAAGAAACUGAGUCCAGAGAGAAAAGGAGCUUUCCUAGUUUCACAGAGCUAACUAGGAGGAGGGCUGGUAUUGGAGGACCUGACUCCCAGGCCAACAGUUCUUUCACUACAUAUCCAUCCAUGCACAAGUGUGUGGGCCAGAGAUGGGUCAAAGUAUUAUGUAUAGAAAUACUUGCAGCAGCAGUUACACUGCCUUAAGGUCAGGUUUAGGCAAUGUGACUCUGUUCGGCAAUCAUAAGAGGACUGGUCAGAAUUUACCUGCAAGGCCUCCUGGCUGAGUGUCUUUGUAUGAAGACAUGAAGAUGUGAGCCUGGUAUUUUAACCCAACCUACACUCAACCUGGGCUAUAUACCUGUCAUGAGAGUCUAGGUGGGAGAUGUCCCAAGAAGGAUGCUCUUGGUCUGAGCAUGGAGCAGUGAAGUCCUCUCUGAAUGGAGCAAGAGGCUCUGAGUGAAUAAGUGAAGGGAGAAUUUACUUUAAAACAAAUAAAAACACUCAACUUCUUUGGGCUGAAGUUUGUUCUAGGUCUAGAUGAAAGGUGCUUUGCAUUCCUUAGGGAAAGAAGCAGAAUAUUAGAGGUGGAAGGAAUUCUGAAGGAGAACCAGUCAAAUUUUUCAUUACCAAUGGGGAAACAGAUACAGCAUGAUCACUCUUAGGGUGUGGGAGCCCUGCACAAAUAUUUUUUGCAGGGCCCCUGUCUAUGUAGACCAUUAGAUGAUACAUUUAUUAGAAAAUUCAAAGGUCCAUCUAAGGCAUAGUGAUUUAUCAGUAAAGAUUUAGAAUAAUGUGUAGAGAAGAGGUACUUACGCAUUUGUUUAUUGUCCUAUCAGUGCACGUGAAGUUUGUGGUAUCCGUGCACUGUCUCCCCCUUUGUAGGUCUAGGAAGCAUCCCUUCGUGUUUUUUAUUGUGAAAUUCACCAUUCCUGGUUAAUUUCAUAUCUCCCACUGUGAGAAACAGGUAACAACACUCAUAAUACCAUGGGUCUUCGGAAUCUCUUUGUACUGAAACAAAAUAGAUUUUUCUUGCCUCUGCACUUCCCUAAUGCCAUGUAUUUAAUGCUGGCUUUAUCAUUACUCAUGACACUGCAUCAUGUACUAUGCCGCUUGUGAAUAAUGGUUUCCAGUGACUCUCUCAAAGAUUGCUACUGUGCAUCACUGAUGAUGACUGCUAUAUCAGUCAGGGCCAACCAGAGACAUAGAACCAGUAGGAUAUGUAUAUAUAUUAAGAGAUUUGUUGCAAAUAAUUGGCUUAUGUGAUUGUGGAGGCUGGCUAUGGCUAGGCAAGUCUUAAAUCCACAGGGGAGGCUGCCAGGAAGGGCAGCCUGGAACUUCUGGACAUGAGCUAAAGCUGCUGUCCACAGGCAGAAUUUCCUCUUCUUCAGUAAAGCCUCAGCUCUGUUCUUUGGCCUUUUAAUUGAUUGGAUGAGGCCCACCCAGACUAUCAAGGCUAAUCUCCUUUACAUAAAGUCAACUGCCUGUAGAUGCUAAGCAUGUCCGCAAUGCCUAGAUUUGUGUUUGAUGGAAUAACUGAGGUAGGUCUAUAGCCUAAUUGAGUUGGCACAUAAAACUAACCAUCACAACUACAAGUGCAAGUCUUAUCCAGAGUAUGCUGGAAACUAUGAAUGAGACUCCAUGUUCUGGUCAUGUUAAAUUUACUGUUUAGAAUUUUGUAGUACAACAUGCAACAUGUCUUCCAACCCUGUCUUCUCUUGAACUCUCUAGGCUAUAAUCAAUAUAUUCCUAAACUGUGAUUGCUUUGAAUGUUGACUGCACCCUUUCCUUUCACACCAGUAGAUAGGCUCAGGCCCAAGUAUGGUGGAUUAAGACUGACCUGAGAGAACACGAUAUCAGCACAUCCAUUGAUGGGAAGGAAGGACGUUGACCCAAUAGGCCAUUGGCUUUGUGGAACAACAGUCUUGAAAACCCUUGGAGAAGAUAGGUGCAGCCAACUCUGGAGGACUGCCUGAAAGGGAGCAGAGCCUGUAGAGGAGGCAUGUUCCAUUGUGAGUGCUGUGGCUUGUGUUUCACAUCGUGUGACAACCUGUGGCCCUGCAUCUCCCAGACACAGUGCCAG
rnacentral:lncRNA from 1 species